UCGAGUGGCGGACGGGUGAGUAAUAUCUGGGGAUCUGCCUAAUGGAGGGGGAUAACUAUCGGAAACAAUAGCUAAUACCGCGUAAUGUCGUAAGACCAAAGUGGGGGAUCUUAUAGACCUCAUGCCAUUAGAUGAACCCCAGACGAGAUUAGCUAGUAGGUGGGGUAAUGGCUCACCUAGGCAACGAUCUCUAGCUGGUCUGAGAGGAUGAUCAGCCACACUGGAACUGAGACACGGUCCAG
rnacentral:rRNA from 1 species